rnacentral:rRNA from 1 species
UACGGGGGGGGCAAGCGUUGUUCGGAAUUACUGGGCGUAAAGGGCUCGUAGGCGGCCAACUAAGUCAGACGUGAAAUCCCUCGGCUUAACCGGGGAACUGCAUCUGAUACUGGAUGGCUUGAGAUUGGGAGAGGGAUGCGGAAUUCCAGGUGUAGCGGUGAAAUGCGUAGAUAUCUGGAGGAACACCGAUGGCGAAGGCAGCCCCCUGGGCUAACACUGACGCUCAUGCACGAAAGCGUGGGGAGCAAACAGG